GAUGAACGCUGGCGGCGUGCCUAACACAUGCAAGUCGAACGGAGUCGUUUUGGAAAUCUCUUCGGAGAUGGAAUUCUCGACUUAGUGGCGGACGGGUGAGUAACGCGUGAGCAAUCUGCCUUUAAGAGGGGGAUAACAGUCGGAAACGGCUGCUAAUACCGCAUAAAGCAUUAAAUUCGCAUGUUUUUGAUGCCAAAGGAGCAAUCCGCUUUUAGAUGAGCUCGCGUCUGAUUAGCUAGUUGGCGGGGUAACGGCCCACCAAGGCGACGAUCAGUAGCCGGACUGAGAGGUUGAACGGCCACAUGGGGACUGAGACACGGCCCAGACUCCUACGGGAGGCAGCAGUGGGGAAUAUUGCGCAAGGGGGGAAACCCUGACGCAGCAACGCCGCGUGAUUGAAGAAGGCCUUCGGGUUGUAAAGAUCUUUAAUCAGGGACGAAACAAAUGACGGUACCUGAAGAAUAAGCUCCGGCUAACUACGUG
rnacentral:rRNA from 1 species